rnacentral:rRNA from 1 species
AGUCACUGACAUUAGACUACCCGGUAGUCCCAGCCGUAAACAAUGUGCGUUAGGUGUGUCGGUAACCACGCGUUACUGAUGCGCCGAAGAGAAAUCGUGAAACGCACCACCUGGGAAGUACGGUCGCAAGGCUGAAACUUAAAGGAAUUGGCGGGGGAGCACCACAACAGGUGGAGCCUGCGGUUUAAUUGGAUUCAACGCCGGACAUCUCACCGGAUAAGACAGCUGAAUGAUUGUCAAUCUGAAGGUUUUACAUGACUAGCUG